CCUACGGGAGGCAGCAGUGGGGAAUAUUGGGCAAUGGAGGAAACUCUGACCCAGCAACGCCGCGUGAAUGAUGAAGGUCUUCGGAUUGUAAAGUUCUUUUCUAAGGGAAGAAGAAAGUGACGGUACCUUAGGAAUAAGCCUCGGCUAACUACGUGCCAGCAGCCGCGGUAAUACGUAGGAGGCAAGCGUUAUCCGGAAUGACUGGGCGUAAAGGGUGCGUAGGUGGUUUGACAAGUUGGUAGCGUAACUCCGAGGCUUAACCUCGGCACUACUACCAAAACUGUUGGACUCGAGUGCAGGAGGGGCAAAUGGAAUUCCUAGUGUAGCGGUGGAAUGCGUAGAUAUCACGAGGAACCCCGAUUGCGAAGGCAGCCUGCCGGGGUGCGACUGACGCUGAGGCUCGAAGGUGCGGGUAUCAAACAGGAUUAGAUACCCGAGUAGUC
rnacentral:rRNA from 1 species